UUGCUGUUCCAACCUGCAGCCUGUCUUCCCUGCCCCAGCUUCCUAAGGGGAACGGGGGCAUGAAUGAUGAUGCAGGCUGAUAAUUACAGAACCUUCCCUCCUCUCUGCCACCAGAAAAUUUCAAUGAAAACAGAAGUAGAAAACUGUCAGGCCUCAUGAGGAUUUGUCCUCAAGAAAAGGAGGUAGACUCCAGGCUUUAGCCAAGUAGCGCUGUGGUGUCAACAAACAGAAUCGCUUGGGUUGUCAAAAUGGUAGGGGACUUUGGAGUGGCAGAAGAAACUCCAUGGUUAUUGACUCUUCUUCUUAUUUCUUUUCAAAACUCGCUGAUUUGUCCUGAGAUGGAACAGUCUAUAUCUGAAGAAAGUGUGCUCCCUGUUGCUGAAGAAGUACAAGCAGGGGUUGAAAGGCCACCUGACAGCUUUCUGAUAGUGACUCCUGUUGGCUGAAACCUGAAGACAUGGCAGCCCCUAAAUGAAAUUCAUCCAUGUCAGCCUUUCUGGAAUUGGAUUUUGAGGAGCAAAUAAAAUCUAUCUGGCA